UGGAAGAAUCUGUUAAGCUCAGGAGGGAUAGCGCCAUAAUCGAUCAUUACUCUUUUUUUCCUUGGGGUUUUGAUUUUCUUUCUAUAGCGCUAUCCAUCCUGAGUUUCAUGGCUUCUUCUU
rnacentral:pre_miRNA from 1 species